rnacentral:rRNA from 1 species
AUUGAACGCUGGCGGCAGGCCUAACACAUGCAAGUCGAACGAGUGGCGGACGGGUGAGUAAUGUCUGGGAAACCGCCUGAUGGAGGGGGAUAACUACUGGAAACGGUAGCUAAUACCGCAUACUCUCCGAUGCGCCCAGAGGGGAAUAGCGUGUUGGUGGGGUAACGGCUCACCAAGGCGACGAUCCCUAGCUGGUCUGAGAGGAUGACCGGCCAACCUGGAACUGAGACACGGUCCAGACUCCUACGGGAGGCAGCAGUGGGGAAGAUUGCACAAUGGGCGCAAGCCUGAUGCAGCCAUGCCGCGUGUAUGAAGAAGGCCUGCGGGUUGUAAAGUACUUUCAGCGGGGAGGCGUUACCCGCAGAAGAAGCACCGGCUAACUCCGUGCCAGCAGCCGCGGUAAUAC